AGAGAGAGAGAGUAUAUGUACACACGACAUACAUACCCUGCAAAGGAAGCUAGCGCCAUAAUAUACAUGUGGGCCGGAAAUUCCGCUUUCCAGAGUUGAACCUUAAGGAUUCUUGGGUCGUCAUUGAGGGAACAAAAGGGCAAUCUUGUCACAAAGCUGCAACCAUAAAAGCAUGUAUCAUGCAUAUAAUGAAAAAUCCGGAAACGCCUACACAUAUCCCCACAGGUUGUACAACACCAUGCACGCUCAUGCACCCGCUACUUUCUACAAAAAGCCAAUCCUAAUUCAAAAGGCACUACACAAAUUCCGUUCUUCAUUCUUUGACUCAGACUUCUGCUAUCAUCUCUCUCUCUCUGUGGUCUCUCUCUAGGGUUUCUCAGGGGCCUUGUUGCAGAGCCAAUUUGGCAUUCUGUCCACCUCCAUGAAAUGUUCUUGUUAGUUAACUAGUUUGAUUUUCAGCUUUUGGAGGCGGCCAGCAUGUCAAAUUGGUUCUGUAAAUUUUUCUCUGAGAAACCAUAUAAGAGCCAAAAGCUCUUGAUGAAAAUCUUUCUGCUUAAUAGCUCUACGAUCCUUAAUAUCUGUCGUAUUUUCUGAUCUGGCCAGAAAAAGUCUUUUUCACUCGUGUUAUUUUUACACUAAUUUGUUGUUUGUUUACUUUAUAUGUGUGCAUGCAUUUAUAGUUGAGACUAAGAUGAGCUCUUUCAUGGUCUUGGGGUAAGGAACAUUAGAAAUUUAGGUGGUUAAUUUUACAUAUAAGAUACAGUCACAAGUGUUAUCUACGCAUGCAGGUAAUUAUUAAAGCAGCAAAUUUUUUCCAAGCUCCAAUAUUGGCUUUAAUUACUUGUUCUGUCGGUUGACCUCUCUUAGUGUAUUCUGAUCUUAAUUUGUUCUUUCGGCCACUUUGCAGGUUACAGGUUAAUGCAUACUCAUCAUUCUUUAGCUGCGGCAGGACUAGUAAAUUUGUAUCCAUUGAAUUAGGCCAAAUCACUUGUUGGAUAGGUCAUUUUUAAUGGCCGCUAUGCUCCAAAUACGAUCGACCAUCAACCAUAGGGUGGUUUCAUAUUGGGCUUAUCUCAAGAGAUGAACUACCUAUGAUCAACUUGAGCAAUUUCAUGUAAUAACUACAGCUUGAGCAGACAUUGUUUCCUAAUGAGAGUUCAAGAAAGAUGGAUGCCAUAAUGCGUCAAACUAUUUUUUGGGAAGACUAGAGGGAGUUUUCUUCAAUUCUCAGAAGGGAAGAAGUGAAUUUUGGCAGCACUAGUCUGGAUUUUUGUGAACUUUGACCCGUAACUUGUUAAAUAUAUUAAUGUUUUGUCAUUGCAUUGAUGUAAGUCAACCGUGUACAUGAAAUUGAAAAAGCAGCCAAACAUGUUGCAUGUAAAGUUUCUCUAUCCGUUAUGUCUUUUGAGCCUUUU